rnacentral:rRNA from 1 species
GAUGAACGCUGGCGGCGUGCUUAACACAUGCAAGUCGAACGAAGCACUUUAUUUGAUUUCCUUCGGGACUGAUUAUUUUGUGACUGAGUGGCGGACGGGUGAGUAACGCGUGGGUAACCUGCCUUGUACAGGGGGAUAACAGUUGGAAACGGCUGCUAAUACCGCAUAAGCGCACAGCAUCGCAUGAUGCAGUGUGAAAAACUCCGGUGGUAUAAGAUGGACCCGCGUUGGAUUAGCUAGUUGGUGAGGUAACGGCCCACCAAGGCGACGAUCCAUAGCCGACCUGAGAGGGUGACCGGCCACAUUGGGACUGAGACACGGCCCAAACUCCUACGGAAGGCAGCAGUGGGGAAUAUUGCACAAUGGGCGAAAGCCUGAUGCAGCGACGCCGCGUGAGCGAAGAAGUAUUUCGGUAUGUAAAGCUCUAUCAGCAGGGAAGAUAAUGACGGUACCUGACUAAGAAGCACCGGCUAAAUACGUG